UACGUAGGGUGCGAGCGUUGUCCGGAAUUAUUGGGCGUAAAGAGCUCGUAGGCGGUCUGUCGCGUCUGCUGUGAAAACUCAGGGCUUAACCCUGAGCUUGCAGUGGGUACGGGCAGACUAGAGUGCGGUAGGGGAGACUGGAAUUCCUGGUGUAGCGGUGAAAUGCGCAGAUAUCAGGAGGAACACCGGUGGCGAAGGCGGGUCUCUGGGCCGUAACUGACGCUGGAGGAGCGAAA
rnacentral:rRNA from 1 species